rnacentral:lncRNA from 1 species
AGCCAUAUACCACAGAUGUGAAGAACUUAAAAAGUUGAAAUUGUCCUUGUUACUGUCUUUGCCCCAUGUUGCGGUUUGGAUAAACAUGAGACACUGGGAGAUCUGGGGAGACGAUGGAAGAUGAAGUACAUACUGUGCAAGCUGGAGGACCUAGGCUGGUACUCACCGUGCCAAGGGGCACAGCAGAGUAUAGCACAGGAAAGACUUUCACUGAAGAAGAGGAACUGCAGAAAUCCACCUGGAAUAUCAAUCAACCGUACCCCAACAAAACAUACCUGACUCGCCCAAAACAUACCUGACUCACCGGUUUUCCUCCAGCUUCGUGGCUCCCUGCUGACAGCUGUCAUACUGGAUUUUGGUGUGGGUUGAAACUCAGCUCACCUCACUCAAUCCCAACCCCCAUGUUCCUUUGCUUCUAAUCACACUGCCUGAUCUUCGAAAGCAAGGCCCUUUGCCUGCCCUAUGUGUAUGGUAUGUACCCAUGUCCAUCAGCAAGGUUCCUCUGCAUCCUUGAGCUAUGAGGAGAAGUGAGAGGCUGCCACUCCCAACCUCUGUUUCUUCAACACAAGCAGGGCAGUGGGUAGCAGCUUUCGCGACAGCUAUGCCUACUAGUCAUGACAACACUUGUCUCUGUAUCCGAUGGUCCUUUGAGUUGGACUGCACUGCUCUGCCUCAUGUCUGGCCAGGAUGCCCAUUUCAGAAGAAUUUCUAUUUUCUUUCUCAUUGUUCCCCAUCUCACCAUGACUCAGUUCUAGCUCAUGGAUUCCCCUUAUGUAUUACUUACUGCCUGAUGCUCCCAGUUAGAGAGGCAGCACUUGAAAAAAAGAAGUCAGAGCAUUAACAUCCUGGAUUCAUUCCCCCAGUCCCCACAUGAAAUACAGAGAUGAUGUGCUUCUGUGUUGUUGGACCUCUGUGAGGCACACGUGCUAGCUGUUUAAUCCCUGAGCUAUAGCAGCUUGUGAGUCAGGUUUUCAUGUAACCCGGGCUAGCCUUGAACUUUCUCUGUAGCUAAGGAUAAGCUUAAAUACUUGGUCCUCCCCAUCCCAAAGGCUGAAUUUGCAAGUGUGCCCCAUCAUACCCAUCUGUGCAGGUACCUGAGGGCGUCCGAAGAGGUGUUGGAUCCCCUGGAACUGGAGUUGCAGGCAAUUGUGAGCUCCUCAACAUGGGUGCUGGGAAUCAAACUCCAGCUCAGCAACAAGCAUUACUAACCACUGGGCCAUCCUUCCAGCCCCCAUAACCUUGAACUUUUGACUCUUCAUUUCAGCCUCCUAAGUAGUUUGGAUUACAGGUCUGGCCAGCAAUAAUCCUUUUGAAGUAUAUUGAACACAUAUGCCCGUGUGUCACAUAUACAGACUAUUCAAUGGCUGUCAGCUAGCGUUUUCUCAGGCCAGGUCACCUGGCAUUGCUGGCUUCUUACUUCUUGCCUUGGCACAUCUUUUCUCUGACAAUGCACUACUCACCUUUUGCUAGGGUUUCAGAUCCACUUGGCUUUACAGUCUAUACUUGUAUAGAGACAACUGAAGUCCUUGUCCUCUACCCAGCCUUCUUAGUCUGUUUCUGUGCUAUUGAUACCUCUGUGUACUAACUACAUUUCUGUUGCCGUGAUGAAGUUGCCUGACCAAGCCUGUUGCCUGACCAAGCCAAAGCAAAGGAAAUUAUUUGGCUUCCAAUUCUAUAAUUUUGAGGAAGUUACGAUCUCAAGCAACUAGUCAUAUUAUAUAUGUAGCCAAGAUGAGGGAGAAAUGAAUGCACUUAUGCUACUGGCUUGCUACUGGCUAGCCAUUGCCUGUAGCAGGGACCAAGGGAAUGGUACCGCCCACAAUGGACUGGGUCUUCCUAUAUCAGUGAACAGUCAAGACUACCUCUUCCCCAAAAUAUGUACAUAGGGCAACUCUGAGAUAAAAUUUGUCAAUCACUUUAAACCCAUGUCCCUUAUUUUCUUACAAGGAGUAUCUGCCCUGGGAAAGGGCUCCAUGCUUAGGAUUUUAUCUCACUUCAGAUUUGUCCCCAUAUGUGUCCUUCCCCGGUAGGUCUGGGGAGGUCCUGAUUAGCUUCACCUUGGAGUUUUCAAUACAAAUCCGUGUAAAGUGUUUACCUGG